rnacentral:rRNA from 1 species
CAGCGCCACGAGUGGGAGCCGCGAUUAUUUGGCCUAAAGCGUCCGUAGCUGGUUUAGUAAAUCUCUUGUGAAAUCGUUCGGCUUAACCGAACGGCGUGCAGGAGAGACUGCUAGACUAGGGACCGGGAGGAGUCAGAGGUAUGCUGUGGGGAGCGGUAAAAUGCUAUAAUCCUCAGUAGACCACCUGUGGCGAAGGCGUCUGACUAGAACGGGUCCGACAGUGAGGGACGAAAGCCAGGGGAGCAAUCCGGAUUAGAUACCCGCGUAGUCC